AACGGAGACGCAUCUUCCCUGCAUCUCACAGGUUAAGCUUUCCAAGGGGGUGGAGGGGAAAGGGAGUCUUGUCCUUUUGCUCCUUGUAGGGUGGGUUUGUUCAGCUGUGAUUGCCUUCAGCUCCUGCAGGAAGGUGGGCUGGAGAACGGAGGCUCCUGGUAAGCCAGCUCCGACACUCCCCUCUCCCUCCUUCGGAGGAAUCCCUGGAUGGCCAAGCAGGGAGAUUUGGAGCCCUGGAAGAUGAUCGCAAGAAGGUUCACGAGGACAGGAACGUAUAGGAGAGGGGGACUUGCCAGGGAGGGAGGGAGGGGGUGGGUGUCUUGAAAGUUUUCCCGAAAGGCGAGCCCGUUUGGUCAAUCCUUCUCCCACCCCCUCCCCAUGUCCUUAAGCCCCCCAAGAAGGCCAAGAGAGAUGAGGAUGGUGGAAAUGUGCUCUUUUCCCACACAUCCCCUCUCCCCAUCCAUUCAAGAGGGAACCAGUUGGGGACCCCUCCUGCUCUUCUCAACUGGAUGGAGAACUUGCCUUCCUGGGGGUGGGGGGUAGACCCAAAGCUGGCACUGUGGAGGAAAGUUGUGGAGCUCCUGAAGGCUUGGAAACCCACGUAGCUUCCCAAGCAGGAAGUCUUGUUCUGGGACUCAAGAACGUUCUGGAGAACAUUCUGGACUCAAGAAUGUUCUGGAGAACGUCAGCUGGAGAGCCCUGCCUUAAGGAAAGGGCACCACAUCCUGAUCAGCGAACGGCAUUUAGAAACAGCAUCUUCCUUUCCCUUCUUUUAUUUUUUUUUUAAAAAUGGAGUCUUUGCGCUCAUGUUACGUUUAUACCGGUGUAUUUUAUUUUCUAAGGGGAUACAAACUUUGAAGAGGGACCAACAGCCCCACUGUUUACAAUGUGUGUACAUCCAGAUAUGUAUGCGCCAUACGUAUCUAUCUAUCUAUCUGGCAUUCAUACUUCUUGUAGUACAGUAAACGUGUUUUAUCAUGCAAUAUAUUAGGAGAAAAAGAAGAAAAAAAAGAGAAGACAAUAGCACAUUAUUUGCUUGGUUUCUACCCAAAAGGGUUUGGGUUUGUUUGUUUCCAACUGUGCGUUUUCUUCUGCACCCCCACCCACCCCGCCUCCUCCGUCUCUGGGACAGUCUUCGGAGCCCUGGUUCACUUUGGCAGUGGGGGACGGUGGCUCUUCUCCCCCCUCCUCUGCCCACACCCCUCCUCCAGCAUUCCUCUUUCAGGGGCCUUCUCUCUUGUUAUAAAAAACGAAACAAAAGACAAAAAACUUUUUACCGAGUGAAACAUGGGGUACCACACCUUUAUUGCCAUUCUCACCAAUGUAAAUACUGAUACUAACGGAGAAUUUUGACUUUGCAUUCUGUCACAAUACUUGUGUUCAAAUAAAAAUUACCAAAAAAAAAAAAA